GUUCUUGGGGUGUUGUUGCACACUGGAUUUUCAUUCCAGGGGUAUAAAGUGAUAUUUUAUCAAGGAU
rnacentral:tRNA from 1 species